GGCGUGGUAGCAAAGUGGUUACUGCGAUUGACUAGAAUAUCACGGAUCACCUCAAACAUCCAGGAUAUGUGCUAUCAAUUCCCUUCGGGGGCGUAGGUUCGAAUCCUGCCCACGUCG